CAUUUGGUGAGUGUAACUCCCUCCUCUCCUGCAUCCUGAAUGGAGUGUGCUUUGCAUAUUACUGCGAGCUAAAUUUUCCAGCUGCAAGACCAUGUAAAGCCAGACCCAUGAGUGAUCUGCAGUCUCUACACGGACCACCAUCUCAGCCCUGCCUUCUCCUCCCUCUUUCACUGUGUGUGGUAAAAAGAUGGAGAGAAUCAAGGUCUUCACUCUGCCUCUUGAAAGAAAGGAGCUAACCUGUCGCCUAGCAACACCUCCCACUCCUGCUGAAGCCAGAGGAAGAGAAGAGAGGAAGAGGAAGGAUUGAAGCUGCCUAUGAAACCAAUAAUAAGACAGAAAUUACCAUUGCAGGCAAAGCCAUCUGGCCCCAGCUCAUAACCCUGCUCACAUCGACACAGGAACGUCCCGUACGUGUUAUAACACCUCUGACUGCAGGGGGCCCCCAUGCUACACUCAUCCACAUCUAAAAGCAACAGAAUGGCAA